AGGGAAUCUUCCGCAAUGGACGCAAGUCUGACGGAGCAACGCCGCGUGAGUGAUGAAGGUUUUCGGAUCGUAAAGCUCUGUUGCCAGGGAAGAACGCCUUGGAGAGUAACUGCUCUAAGGGUGACGGUACCUGAGAAGAAAGCCCCGGCUAACUACGUGCCAGCAGCCGCGGUAAUACGUAGGGGGCAAGCGUUGUCCGGAAUUAUUGGGCGUAAAGCGCGCGCAGGCGGUCAUUUAAGUUUGGUGUUUAAGCCCGGGGCUCAACCCCGGAUCGCACUGAAAACUGGGUGACUUGAGUGCGGGAGAGGAAAGUGGAAUUCCACGUGUAGCGGUGAAAUGCGUAGAGAUGUGGAGGAACACCAGUGGCGAAGGCGACUUUCUGGACCGUAACUGACGCUGAGGCGCGAAAGCGUGGGGAGCAAAC
rnacentral:rRNA from 1 species